GAUGAACGCUAGCUACAGGCUUAACACAUGCAAGUCGAGGGGAAACGAUAGAGAAAGCUUGCUUUUUCUAGGCGUCGACCGGCGCACGGGUGAGUAACGCGUAUCCAACCUGCCCACCACUUGGGGAUAGCCUUGCGAAAGUAAGACUAAUACCCAAUGACGUCUCUAGAAGACAUCUGAAAGGGAUUAAAGAUUUAUCGGUGAUGGAUGGGGAUGCGUCUGAUUAGCUUGUUGGCGGGGUAACGGCCCACCAAGGCAACGAUCAGUAGGGGUUCUGAGAGGAAGGUCCCCCACAUUGGAACUGAGACACGGUCCAAACUCCUACGGGAGGCAGCAGUGAGGAAUAUUGGUCAAUGGGCGAGAGCCUGAACCAGCCAAGUAGCGUGCAGGACGACGGCCCUAUGGGUUGUAAACUGCUUUAUAAGGGAAUAAAGUGAGUCUCGUGAGGCUUUUUGCAUGUACCUUAUGAAUAAGGACCGGCUAAUUCCGUG
rnacentral:rRNA from 1 species